AUUGAACGCUGGCGGCAUGCCUUACACAUGCAAGUCGAACGGCAGCACGGGAGCAAUCCUGGUGGCGAGUGGCGAACGGGUGAGUAAUAUAUCGGAACGUGCCCAGUCGUGGGGGACAACGCAGCGAAAGCUGUGCUAAUACCGCAUACGAUCCAUGGAUGAAAGCGGGGGACUCGCAAGAGCCUCGCGCGAUUGGAGCGGCCGAUAUCAGAUUAGGUAGUUGGUGGGGUAAAAGCUCACCAAGCCGACGAUCUGUAGCUGGUCUGAGAGGACGACCAGCCACACUGGAACUGAGACACGGUCCAGACUCCUACGGGAGGCAGCAGUGGGGAAUUUUGGACAAUGGGCGCAAGCCUGAUCCAGCAAUGCCGCGUGCAGGAUGAAGGCCUUCGGGUUGUAAACUGCUUUUGUACGGAGCGAAACGGUCUGCUUUAAUACAGUGGGCUAAUGACGGUACCGUAAGAAUAAGCACCGGCUAACUACGUGCCAGCAGCCGCGGUAAUACGUAGGGUGCGAGCGUUAAUCGGAAUUACUGGGCGUAAAGCGUGCGCAGGCGGUUAUAUAAGACAGAUGUGAAAUCCCCGGGCUCAACCUGGGACCUGCAUUUGUGACUGUAUAGCUAGAGUACGGUAGAGGGGGAUGGAAUUCCGCGUGUAGCAGUGAAAUGCGUAGAUAUGCGGAGGAAC
rnacentral:rRNA from 1 species